rnacentral:rRNA from 1 species
AGUGAACGCUGGCGGUAGGCCUAACACAUGCAAGUCGAACGGCAGCACAGUAAGAGCUUGCUCUUACGGGUGCCGAGUGGCGGACGGGUGCGGAAUACAUCGGAAUCUACUUUUUCGUGGGUGAUAACGUAGGCAAACUUACGCUAAUACCGCUUACGACCUACGGGUGAAAGCAUGGGAUCUCCGGACCUUGCGCGAUUGAAUGAGCCGAUGUCGGAUUAGCUAGUUGGCGGGGUAAAGGCCCACCAAGGCGACGAUCCGUAGCUGGUCUGAGAGGAUGAUCAGCCACACUGGAACUGAGACACGGUCCAGACUCCUACGGGAGGCAGCAGUGGGGAAUAUUGGACAAUGGGCGCAAGCCUGAUCCAGCCAUACCGCGUGGGUGAAGAAGGCCUUCGGGUUGUAAAGCCCUUUUGUUGGGAAAGAAAGGCAGCAGGUUAAUACCCCGCUGUUCUGACGGUACCCAAAGAAUAAGCACCGGCUAACUUCGUG